rfam:Triticum aestivum genome assembly, contig: Triticum_aestivum_CS42_TGACv1_scaffold_343094_4DL
CAAUUACUCCCUCCGUUUGAAAUUACUUGUCUCGAAAAUGGAUGUAUCUAGAACUAAAAUACGUCUAGAUACAUCUAUUUCUGUGACGAGUAAUUCCGAACGGAGGGAGUAGUUU